rnacentral:lncRNA from 1 species
UAGUCUAAUUUUGAUGCUUUGAUGAGCUACCUCUGAAGUUACUUACAGAGAUUCCCAGACCAGAUAUUUUGAUAGAUUUUGAUAGAAUUGUCGUAGAAAGCCCAAGUUCCUGAAAUCUCAUCAGGUUUACAACAUAAUAAACUUUCAUUAAGAUGAAACUUUAUGAAACUUAUUCUGUUUAUUUCCCAGAGCUAACCAGAUGCUGAUUGAAUAUUGAAUGAGUUGGGUAUGAACCUUGCUCAAUAACACUGGCAUGAAAACUGGCCUGGAGAGAAAUAUCUGUGAGCUUAGAAUAUAUUUUUUGAUAAUAUUGCUGAGUAGGGAGCUACAGAUUGAAUCACAUGCAGAAACCUGAUUUGAGGUUUACAGCUGGAUGGCAGCAAGUGGAGACAACAGAAGAUGUUCCCUGUGUGCUGUGUCCACCCAUUGCUCCAGAGAUUUCUUCAGGGAACAUUCCCUCCUGAAGCAGAGUACUUGAGGGGAUUCAUGGUACAGAAGGUUUUCAGCACAGGCAAUGAUAAGUUCUAGAGAUCUUUAUAAGUCAGGAAAUCC